rnacentral:rRNA from 1 species
AGUGAACGCUGGCGGUAGGCCUAACACAUGCAAGUCGAACGGCAGCACAGGAGAGCUUGCUCUCUGGGUGGCGAGUGGCGGACGGGAGAGGAAUACAUCGGAAUCUACUCUGUCGUGGGGGAUAACGUAGGGAAACUUACGCUAAUACCGCAUACGACCUACGGGUGAAAGCAGGGGACCUUCGGGCCUUGCGCGAUUGAAUGAGCCGAUGUCGGAUUAGCUAGUUGGCGGGGUAAAGGCCCACCAAGGCGACGAUCCGUAGCUGGUCUGAGAGGAUGAUCAGCCACACUGGAACUGAGACACGGUCCAGACUCCUACGGGAGGCAGCAGUGGGGAAUAUUGGACAAUGGGCGCAAGCCUGAUCCAGCCAUACCGCGUGGGUGAAGAAGGCCUUCGGGUUGUAAAGCCCUUUUGUUGGGAAAGAAAUCCAGCUGGCUAAUACCCGGUUGGGAUGACGGUACCCAAAGAAUAAGCAUCGGCUAACUUCGUGCCAGCCGCCGCGGUAA